rnacentral:rRNA from 1 species
AUUGAACGCUGGCGGCAGGCCUAACACAUGCAAGUCGAGCGGAUGAAGGGAGCUUGCUCCUGGAUUCAGCGUCGGACGGGUGAGUAAUGCCUAGGAAUCUGCCUGGUAGUGGGGGAUAACGUCCUGAAACGGGCGCUAAUACCGCAUACGUCCUGAGGGAGAUAGUGGGGGAUCUUCGGACCUCACGCUAUCAGAUGAGCCUAGGUCGGAUUAGCUAGUUGGUGGGGUAAAGGCCUACCAAGGCGACGAUCCGUAACUGGUCUGAGAGGAUGAUCAGUCACACUGGAACUGAGACACGGACCAGGCGCCUACGGGAGGCAGCAGUGGGGAAUAUUGGACAAUGGGCGAAAGCAUGAUCCAGCCAUGCCGCGUGUGUGAAGAAGGUCUUCGGAUUGUAAAGAACUUUAAGUUGGGAGGAAGGGCAGUAAGUUAAUACCUUGCUGUUUUGACGUUACCAACAGAAUAAGCACCGGCUAACUUCGUG